CCUGCCAGCAGAAGGACCGGCGAAC
rnacentral:rRNA from 1 species